rnacentral:rRNA from 1 species
GACGAACGCUGGCGGCGUGCUUAACACAUGCAAGUCGAACGAUGACGACCGAGCUUGCUCGGUCCGAUUAGCGGCGAACGGGUGAGUAACACGUGAGCAACCUGCCCUUCACUCUGGGAUAACCUCGGGAAAUCGGGGCUAAUACCGGAUAUGAGCUCCUGUCGCAUGGCGGGUGUUGGAAAGUUUUUCGGUGAAGGAUGGGCUCGCGGCCUAUCAGUUUGUUGGUGAGGUAGUGGCUCACCAAGGCGAUGACGGGUAGCCGGCCUGAGAGGGCGACCGGCCACGCUGGGACUGAGACACGGCCCAGACUCCUACGGGAGGCAGCAGUGGGGAAUAUUGCACAAUGGGCGAAAGCCUGAUGCAGCGACGCCGCGUGAGGGAUGACGGCCUUCGGGUUGUAAACCUCUUUCAGCAGGGAAGAAGCGAAAGUGACGGUACCUGCAGAAGAAGCGCCGGCUAACUACGUG